CCUCUGGCUAACAGCAUUGCUACUCUAUAACGGAGUCAAUUUACUUUGCAACGUUAAUGUUUUAUUUAUUUGUGGAGACAAAUAACAAGCCUGAAGGGGUUCUGCCAUGUUGUGGAAUUGCUAAUGCUAACGGUUAUGCUAACAAUGUCUUUCCUGGACACUAAACCUGCAACAGACUUAUCCGUCACGAGCCAAGAUGGGUGAGACCCUGAAUGCUAAUUUAUAGUGUGACAUAGAUCUUACUGGCUUUUCCAAUUUGAGUGCGUCCCCGAUGGCUAAAGGAGGAAAUAAGAGUAGAAGACUAUUUUUACGUUUAGCCUGCACGUGAAACUCUGAGUGACUGAUCAUAUUUCCAAAAUAACAAGUAAAAAACUGGUUUGUCGGAUGUCAGUCAACGGGACAGUCUGCCGUGCACAGCUGAAAAUGAUGCAAAUACAUCCUUUUUCUAAACUAAAGACUUAAGUACCUCUAUCUGCUCAUGUCUCAAAGAAAAGCCCAAGUCCAAAUAGUCCAAAGUUUACGCCAAAGUCGUUUUAAACAAGCCGCAGCCAUCUUUGUUGUUUUGUUCCAUUGCAGCUCGUGCGAUGGAAGAUUUCUAGGCGAGAUGAUUCAAGAUUUUCUGAAAAAGAACGGGUGGCAAAAGGUCUGAGUUAUAUCUAGUCUUUAUGGAGUUUACAUGAAUGAAAUUAAACAGUCUUUGUUCCACUCCAAGGGGCUGGAGCGGGGGAAAUGGCUGCUCAUCAAAUCUUGGAUUGAGGUGGUUUCUGCUUCAUGUUGCUGGCAGCUCUUGCCCAUGAGGAUCACAGAUUUAGUGUGAAGCAGCUGAGAUGAUUAUCAGCACCUGAGCAUCUGAGGCCAUAGUCCUUUACAGGAAAGGGGUGUGUUGGGUGGAGGAGUUCAAAUAUCUUGUCAACUUAUUCACAAGUGAGGGAAGAAAGGGGGCAGGGGACAGGAGGAUUGGGGCAGCAUGUGCAGUAACCCGAAGGUUGACCUUUUGGUGAAGAAGGAGGUAACCUGGAAAGCAAAGCUCUCAGUUUAUCUGUCUAUGAUGUUUUUAGAAGUUUCACAUUCUAGUUGUCAGAACAUAGAGAGGUUUUGCAUAGUUUCUUGUUGUUGAGGUAAAUAUAGUGAUUUUUUCUGCCGGUUUUUAGUUGUGGCUGUCAGACUUUGCAACACUGAGAAUCUCCUGGAAGAUCUGAGAGGGCAAAUUUCAGAGCUCCAAACCCCCACCAGUUCAUCUGGUAUGACUCCUGAUGUCGACACCCUGGAGAGUCAUCUGAAUGUUCGUCUGGAGAUGCUGAAAACCAACAUUAAAGAUCAGGUUGCUGAGUUGGAAACAAAACUAAACUCCAGUCAGUCUCACUUGGAGGAACUGAGAAGCACUGCAGAGCGACUGGUUUCUGCAGAGAGUAGAUGGGAGGGGGUGGAAAGACAGCAAGAGGUACUCUACACAGGUAAGCAAUAUUUUCAUCAUCCUAUAAUUUUGCUUUUUGUUUCUAUGGAAAACACUGUUAAUCAUCAAUCGUGACAUUCCAAUGAAACAAUUUAGACUGACAAGUAAACUUUAAAUGAUCACCUAUCAAUAUUCACACAACCAAGAACAGGCUGUGAGGAACGUUUAUUCUUCAGAAACACUAUUUCUUUCAUGUACUUCUUCUUGCCAUUUAGGGAGCCUGAUAAAUCACAAUCCACUUUUAAUCUAAUUGGAAUUGAAGGAGGGACAUACACACUGGUCAGGUGUCAGGAAUGGAGUUGUAGUUGUUGUAGGAGGACCCAAAAUCCAGGAGGCAGCAUGGUUUUAUUUAUAAGCUGUGGAGCAGCUUGGCUCAACUGAUGUAUUUUAUCACCUGAAGGACAGAGUGAAGCUUGCAGUAGCUUUAAAGGCCAUAUUUUAUGGACUACCCAGCCUGAAAUGUAAGGAUCCUGACAGGUUCCCUGCGGAACUCCAUUGUUCAUGUUUACAGAGUUGAGUAGACUGAGAGCUAGUGAAAAACAGCUGGAAGACCUGAAAACCAUAAAUGCAGGCAAUAGGCGAUGUUUUCACAUUUACUGGAAGUUAAAUACUUAAAACUUAUGUGACAAAUAUUGAACCAAUUCAGCAAAUGUUGAAAAGAGUCAAAGCAGGUUUGUUCGGUAGAUGCUGAAGUCAGACUGAGAUCCACAGAGACCCAUCUGGACCAGCUGGAGACCCACACUGCAGCUCUGGAGAUCAGACUGAAGGUCGGCGAGAAACAUCUGGAAGAGCUGAAGACAGAAAACUCAGCUUAUGAAACCAAGCUGCUGGCUGUGACUGACAGACUGAACAUGACUGAGGAGCAGCUGGAUGAUGUGAGGACACGAAGCUCAGUCAGAGCUGCUGAGCUGGUUUCACUUUCAGACAGACUGGCUGAAGCUCAGAGAAACACUGAAGGUAACUCACUGAAACACCGUGUGCAUCAUGUUCACUAGCUAUAGAACAUAAGAGGUGUUUUCUCUCCAGAGCUAACAGUCAGACUUGGUCAGUGAGGCUAAUCGGACCAAGCUGAGGACAGACAAGGAGGUAUUUUAGAGUUAACCUUUGACCUUACGUUACACCUGACACUCUGGGCCCAGGUCCAUUAGCUUGUUCAUAGCAGUCAACCUGCUAUGAAAACAGUUGCUGGUGGUUUAGUCAUGGCUGCUGUUUAAGUACAAAUAAGAAAACAAAUCUAAAGGUUUACACUGUAAAAUCUGAAACAGCUAAAAAGUUUCAAAGGGUGUCAGCUUUAAGGGCAGCUUCAUGGGCUCUCCAGCCUGAAACUGAAGGAUCCUGAAAGGUUCUUGUAACGGUAUGAAAUGACUGUUUUCCACCAAAAGUCAUUUUCCCCCUCUCCUCUGACACAGGACUAGUCUGCAUGAGAUAUGGCCUCAA